CGCAGGAACUUUGUUGACUCUAGAGUACCUUGGGCAAAUCGCACAUCCACGUGGCGGUGACUUUGCAUGCGGAUGUCAUUCAUAUCAACUUUCUAUGUCAGUUUCUGCGCCUACCAUGGUGACCAUGGGUAACGGGGAAUCAGGGUUCCCUUCCGUACAGGGAUCCUCAGAAAUGGCUACCACAUGCAAGGAAGGCAGCAGAUGCGCAAAUGACCCAUUCCCGACGCAGGUAGGUAUUGACG